UUGCCCAAUUGGAUAAAAAAAAGGUGAGGGAAGAGCCAGUUGAUAGACAUUAAUUUCGACCAAUUAUUACAGGAAAACCGAGCAUGACGGGUGAAUUCAACUAUCAAUCAGAUUUCGGAGACGGAUAUGAAGGUGGAGCUUCGGGAUUCCCUCGGUCUCUGGGUAGGCGGAGCUGAGAAGGAGAGAAAGAUGGCGGAGUGAAGAACUGCCGCUCCCGCUGCGGCUGUGGCUGCGGCCGCGGCUGCGGGGAAUCCUCGGAGGCCGAGGUGGGCCAGCCUUGGUCAACGGCGCACUAGUCUUGACAACUCAGGUUCCUCAUACUAGGCAAAACAAUUUUCCUACAAUGUUUAUGGUUGUCCUCAUCUUGGAAGGAAAACAGAACCCAGAGCUCAGGAUUUAGCUGGUUCUUUAGAAGAAGAAAAAAGAUUUCAUUUGCAUCAUUAUAUCCUUCACUGUUUUCUCAGGUGAUCCUGCUUUUUUUUACUUAACUGCAGUCCUUGGUCUUGACAUUUGGAUCUAUCUCCUCUCUACUUGAACUCCAUGAACCAGAAUGGAAAAGAUAACUUCACAUCAUGUUCCACUUCUCAAAUCCAGCACAUUUAGCUUUGUUAGGUGGCUUUCCCCAGGGUGCCAUCUGUCAAUUACACCAGGAAAAAAGAAGUGAUUGAUGUUUGGUAUGCAGCAACUGUUUGCUUAGAUGAAAGAAGGGAUUUUUUUCCUCCCAUAUAGAAGCAUAAUAUUUAGAUUGGUGCCAGGUCCUUAGAUGGUGAUAUUUGUGAGUUCUUUGCCUAAGAACUCAAAAUGUCUGCAGGGGCCACUUGUAUCCUGUUUGAAUUAGUAUAGAAUUACAUGUAUACAUAAUUAGAACAAGAUAUCUUUUAUUUCAAUAUGGAAAGUUCAUUUUGGAAACUAAAAACAAUGUGUCUGAAUCCUAAUUAAUUCCAUCACAUAGAUUUCUUAAUCCAGAACAAAGGGCCAGCUUUGUAGAUACCCAUGUGACAUGGGAGAAAAAAAGCAAAUGCUCUUCAAUUCACUGUAAUACUUAAGAAUGUUGGGGACUAAAGAUUCUUAUGGAGCUUUUGGAGUAACUUGACCGAAGCAUGUGUGAUUAUAGCAAACAGGAACUAAUACAUGACAAAGAAGUAAUAAGAAGCUGCUUCCCGCAGAGGUUUUCCUUAAGUUAGUAUAACCUCACUGUAAUUGUAGGGCUUAUCUUGGCACUGUUGGAAAAACUCUCAUCUUCCAAGUUAAAGGAUAAAAAUAACCUUCAAAUAGGCCAGAGUUGAACCACUUAGUUCAUACUUAGCAAGUUUGUUCCUAACACACAUUGGAAAGAUGAGCUUUACUAAGCCUCUUUACAGUUUUUCUCUAGCCACUUAUUGAUAGAACAUCUGUGAAACCAACUAGGGAAAUUAAUUGUUAAUUGUUUUUGGUUUAAGAAUACAUUAACCAUCAAUCUUCAACUCCUCUAAAAGGGAGUUAUAAAUACUCUUAUAUGCAACUCUUUUUAUCUUAAAAUACAUCAAGAAAUUCAAACUUUAAGAAUUAUUCUUUAAAAGCAAAAACUCAUAAACAGAAAGCCUUCCUUGUAAAGAUAUUUUUCUUUGAAAAUAAAGGUGUCAAUAUGCUGCGCCACUGUUGGAAUGUUAGGUUUUAUUUUUUCCAUCAUGGGGUGAAAUAUCCAAAAUAAAUAAAUUGGAAUAGUGUAUGAUAAUUUUCUGUAACUGUACUAUUCUUGAAUCUGCUUUUAAGUUGUAUGUAAAAUAAAACAAUGUGACAUUAAAUUAGGAAGACCCAAUACUCACUUUUAUUCUAUGUAUUGAUUUUCUUUAGUGCAGGAAAGAUUGUUUACUUACUGUAUGCACAUGCAGCACUGUAAUCUCUAUUCCAUUGCACAGUUAUACUUUAUGAGGUAAUAUUGUUAGAAUUUCUUGUUGUAUAUACCUGAAAUUUUGCAGACCGCAGCUUGCUGUUAUAUCUAUGCAUCUUUGGGAUUUUGAAGAAGAGAUUUUAUUCUUUUGAUGGUAUAAUGAGAAACUUUUUUAAACCAUACAUUGGAAACUCUGCAACUCUGUAUAAAAUUUUUGGGCUUUGUUUUUGGUUUUUAGCAAUAAAGCAGCAUGAGCUGAGAAUGCACUGAAA
rnacentral:lncRNA from 1 species